rnacentral:sRNA from 1 species
GCGACAAAGAAGGAACGACCCUCCGUGU